rnacentral:rRNA from 1 species
UACAGAGGGUGCAAGCGUUAUUCGGAUUUACUGGGCGUAAAGGGCGCGUAGGCGGUUUUUCAAGUCUGGUGUGAAAGCCCCAGGUUCAACCUGGGAAGUGCAUUAGAUACUGUAAGACUAGAGUAUAAGAGGGGAGGGCGGAAUUCCUGGUGUAGAGGUGAAAUUCGUAGAUAUCAGGAGGAACAACAGUGGCGAAGGAGGCUCUCGGGAUUAUAAAUGACGAUGAGGCGCGAAAGCGUGGGGAGCAAACAGG